GUCAUCAGAGCUUCGCCCGACAGCUUCCGUAUCGCCUGGAUCGAACGCCGCUACGAGAAUGGUCAGCUUGCCGCGACCGAGCGGUGGAGCGCCAUCGUCAGCGUUGUCGUGGAACCGCCGCGCGACAUCGAUCGGCUGCGCAAGAACCCUCUCGGCAUCUACGUCAACGCCAUCAACUGGUCCAAGGAGUUUUGACAGUGAUGCCGACAAAUCAACGUUCACUGCGAAUGAAAACGGGGAGUGGAUUUCCGGCUCUCCUGAUUUGCGCCUGUGCCCUUGCUGGGUGCACGACAUUCAAGCCGCCGCAGA
rnacentral:misc_RNA from 1 species